rnacentral:lncRNA from 1 species
CUGCAGUUUCCAAUUUUUUCUCUUUAUAUGUAUAUCCCUCAUUCUCUUUGUAAGCUGAUGAACAUCGAAGUAACAAAAAUGUUAGGAUGAAAUAGAAAACAUGGUAUGUUGAUGUACCAAUGCAUAUGUUGUAAAGAAAUAUUUUCUUAAAGCCAAUGAAUAGAGGCACAUACAAGGAAUCAGUUCAAGAAUGAUUGUUUUGUAAAAACAACAAAGAAAAGUAUUUGUGUUAUUUCCAAGUCAACAAUAGCAAUAGAUUUCUGCUACUAACUCACAAAUUCCUCAGCAACAUCAACAAUAGGUUUUUCUACAACAACAUCAGAUGUUGAUUGAACAAAUGUUCAUCAAUUGCCAGUCUCCAACUUUGACUAGCAAAUGUUGACCAGCAAAUGUUGACCAUAGCCCCUGAGGCAUCAAUUGAGGAUUUGUCAAAUGAAUCUCGUUUUAUCGAUGAUGAAGAAAUCAUUUUCAUAUCAAAAAGACUCAAAAUGACAUUUUCCUCAUCUUCAGUAAUACUAGUCUUAAGCCUAGCUAGAGUUUUUAUAUCACAAAGCCUUGAAUCAAUCCUAAGGGGCUAUUGAAAUCUGCUAGAUGAAGUUGAGAUGAAGGCAAUUGAUGAACAUUUGUUGAAUCAGCGACAUAUGUUACUAUAGUAAAAUCUCUUGUUGUUGCUGCUGGGAAUUAAUUAGUUGGUAGUAGAACCUUUCUAUUGCUAUCGAUAAUAAAAAAAAAUAGUACAACCACUUUUCUUUAGGGCUUCGUUUAACCAAGUCAGCCUUGAAGCGACUCAUUGUAUGAGCUACUAUGCAUUGGCUUGGAGAAAAGUUUCUUUCACAACAAAUGCAUUGGUACAUCAACAUACCAUGUUGCCCAUUUUGUCCCUUCAUUUUUGUUACUUCCAUCGUCAUCAUUUUAAGGAGAGGAGGAGGAGGAGGAGUUUAUAAAUAAUAUGAAAAAGUUGAAUAGAAAGGGGGAGUUGGGUUUAGAGACAAUUUUUAUUCAAAUUAUGAAAGUAUAAGAAUAUAUGUUUUCUGUUUUAUUUUAUUUGUUUAUUUCAAAUACGUUCAAAACCUGAAGAAAAGCUUAAUUGUCUCCAAACCCAAUUCUCCCUAUCACUUCUAUUUUUUUCCCUUUAUAUAUGCACUCUUCAUCCUCUCCUUAGGAUGAUGAAUAUGGAAAUAACAAAAUGGAGAGAUAGAAUGGGCAACAUGGUAUAUUGAUGUACCAAUGCAUGUGUUUUUAAAAAAACAUGUUUGUUUGCAACAAAUUUUAAACAUAUGGAAAAUAAAUCAACCAUAAAUAAAAUCUGAGGAAACAAAAAUAUUUUAUUGAUAAAAUAAUAUGGGUACAAAUCUGUUCCUCCCUUGAUUCUACUCUCCUAAGAUUUUAUCCAUGAUUCGAGGGCCGUUUGUGGCGUAUUUCCCGAACUAGGAUGAUUUGGAUUUGAUCUCUUUAUGAAUAUUGCAUGAAUUUGCGGAAUAUUUGAGAUGCAUUUUCAAGGGAAUAUAGUACCCUUUAUAUAGGCGUGAACUGGUGUUUAGGGUUGAGUAGCUUUCAAGAAUUCUAAUUGGAAUUGAACACACCUUGUAGAGUCCCAACUCUAAUUGAACACGGCUUGUAGAUUCCAACAAAAAUCCAAUGUCUACAAUGUUUCUUCAAGCCAAGGAAUGGCGGCACAAACAAGGAGUUAAUUCUAGAAUGCUUCGGUUAACCACCACCACCACCCCCCCCCCCUAAAAAAAAACUGUUUGAAUUAUUGUCAAGUAAAGAAAAACAAUAGGGUUCUACUAUCAACUAACAUAUUCCACAUCAACAUAAACAAUAGGUUAAUUUUCUCUUCAAUAACAUCACACGUUGAUUCAACAAACGGUCCUCAAUUGCGCUCUUCUCCAGCUUUGAAUAACAAAUGUCAACCAUGGGCCUCUAGGCAUCAUUUGAGGCAUUGUGCUAUAAAAAUUCUAUCUAGGAUCUAGGCUCGUCUUAGCAAAAAAUUGAGGAAGAAUUCAUUUUCAUUUCAAGAAGACUCAAUUUGACAUUUUUAUAAUUUUUUGUAAGAUGAUCCGUGAACCUAGUGAGAGUUUUCAUAUCACAAACCUCAAUCAUUCCUAGGGGGCCAUGGUUGACAUCUGCUAGUUGAAGCUAGAGACAUAGGCAAUUGAUGAACAUUUGUUGAAUCAGCAUCAUAUGUUGCAUAAAAAAAAUUGGUUGUUGGUGUUGCUGGAGAAUUAAUUAAUUUGUCUUAGAAAUCUUCUAUCGAUUAUUAAAAUUUAUGUUCAUAAAUCAUAUAUCCGAAGUAAAUUUCAAUCCUCAUCAUGAUAUUUUUUGUUUGACUAAAUACCCCUAAAAUUAGUGUAUUUAAUCAGAACCUCUCGAAUUAUUAGUAAUCUUUAUUACCCCUAUGACUUUGGCUAUUUGAUAGUCUUCACCCCUACAUGAUCUCAUUCUUAGAAUAAUUAUUUGGAAAAAAAUAAUGAGAAUUUUGUUGAUUUUAUUUUCACAUGUUUCACCCAAAAAUGAGAAAUACAAUGUAGAAACACAUAGUCAUUAGAUUUAUAUAAGAUACAAUAAGAGUUGUAACAUUUUUUUUUUAUAAAAAAUAAGGUCAGUGGUCCAGGUGCCAAGUCUUGCAAAAAAGUAAAUAACAUAGAAAGAAAAGACUGGUCUAUUUGGAAAACUCUUGUAAUUGACCUUAUGUUUUCAUGUUUAUUUUUCUGUUUCUAGCUCUUUUUUCUCUGUUCUUGAUUGAGCUCUUCUAAGUGUGUCUUGUUCGAUGGUGAUGGAGUGGAUGUGUCCAGAUCUGGUGAUUCUGAUUGUUGUUGUGGAAAGCAGUGAUCUUUAUCCUGAAUUCUUGGACCUGUGAUGUGAAUCCGCUUAAGAUUGGUGUCUUUUAUCGUUCCUUUGAUUCAACUUGUUGUUUCCUAUUUGAUGAUUUAUUUGUACACUUGAUAUUCUUGUGUUUGUUGCACCUUAUUGAGAUGUAUUUUUCUUGUGG